AAGUAUUUAGUAUAAUUAAUACAUUCAAUUUCGGCUUGAAAAAUAAUAAUACUUU
rnacentral:tRNA from 1 species